ACGAUUACUGGGUACCUACAUAUCAAGUAUAUAUAUUCAGAAUCGGGAGAAUAAAGGUAUCAGUAUUCGGUUUGAUGUUCAGUGUACGUAGGUAAAUAGGUAUCAGAAGCAUUACCGAUUCAAAUCGUGGGUCACAUCGAAUCGUAGAUAUCCGCUUCCUACAGCGAUGGCUAUAAAAUCAUAUCUUUUCAUUUUAUUGGUUGUAUUUGUAUCCAUACAACUUUAUGCAGUAAAAUACUAUGCUGUUGUCGCUCCUGAUGGUGAUGAUAAGCCACUCGAUAUCUAUGGAUCAUGCUGGGAUCGUGCACCUCCAGACGACGGCACUCCACUUCAAGGCAGUGAUAGCGAUGAUGAAUCGUAGGUAGGUACCUCUAUUAUUUGGAAAAAAUCAGCGUGUCAAUUUUUUCAUACAGAUAAAACAGACCUUUAUUUUUAAGAAAAAUAACCCUAAUAAUUUUAAGUUUUCCAUGAAAAGCAAAUUUACAGACCUAUAUUUUUAAGAGAAAUAGGAACCCAAUAAUGUUAAUUUUUUCAUAUAAAUUUACAGACCUCUAUUUUUAAGACAAAUAAACUUGAUAAUUUUCUCAGCUAUGCGUUUGAUUUUUUUUUUUUUAAAGACGAUGAGUGUUGAAAAACUUGAAGUACAUAUGAGAAAGCUUCAAAGAACUUUCUAGAUAUUUUCAAAAACGUGGCGUCGUGUAGAAUUUCAUCGAAAUUUUCAAUAGUGAAAAGUUGGACAAAAGGUAAUUAAAUCUCAUCGUUUCAAGUUGACAACAGAACUAACAAGAAAAAGUCACUGUACAGUCCCACAAGUAAGUAAAAAAUUAUCCCGGAAUUAAAUCGAUUUGCUUAUAUUGUAGACAGUAGCUC